UUUGAUCCUGGCUCAGGAUGAACGCUAGCGGCAGGCUUAACACAUGCAAGUCGAGGGGUAGAGUAGCAAUACUUGAGACCGGCGCACGGGUGCGUAACGCGUAUGCAAUCUACCUUUUACAGAGGGAUAGCCCAGAGAAAUUUGGAUUAAUACCUCAUAGUAUUAUAGAAUGGCAUCAUUUUAUAAUUAAAGUCACAACGGUAAAAGAUGAGCAUGCGUCCCAUUAGCUAGUUGGUAAGGUAACGGCUUACCAAGGCUACGAUGGGUAGGGGUCCUGAGAGGGAGAUCCCCCACACUGGUACUGAGACACGGACCAGACUCCUACGGGAGGCAGCAGUGAGGAAUAUUGGACAAUGGGCGCAAGCCUGAUCCAGCCAUGCCGCGUGCAGGAUGACGGUCCUAUGGAUUGUAAACUGCUUUUAUACGAGAAGAAACACUACUUCGUGAAGUAGCUUGACGGUAUCGUAAGAAUAA
rnacentral:rRNA from 1 species